rnacentral:rRNA from 1 species
AACGAACGCUGGCGGCGUGGAUAAGACAUGCAAGUGGGACGCUAAUCAAGGGGUAGCAAUAUUCGUUGGUUGGAGUCGCGUAAGGGUGCGUAACACGUGGGUAAUUUGCCGUGAAGCUUGGAAUAACUUGCCGAAAGGUAAGCUAAUACCGAAUGUGACUUGUGCUGGGCAUCCAGUAUCAGUCAAAGCCGGGGAUCGUAAGACCUGGCACUUCAUGAUAAGCCCGCGGCCUAUCAGCUAGUUGGUGAGGUAACGGCUCACCAAGGCUAAGACGGGUAGCUGGUCUUAGAGGACGACCCAGCCACACUGGAACUGAGACACGGUCCAGACACCUACGGGUGGCAGCAGUCGAGAAUUUUUCACAAUGGCGAAAGCCUGAUGGAGCGACGCCGCGUGGGGGAUGAAUGGCUUCGGCCCGUAAACCCCUGUCAUUCGGGA